AUUGAACGCUGGCGGAAUGCUUUACACAUGCAAGUCGAACGGCAGCACGGACUUCGGUCUGGUGGCGAGUGGCGAACGGGUGAGUAAUGUAUCGGAACGUGCCCAGUCGGGGGGGAUAACGAAGUGAAAAUUACGCUAAUACCGCAUACGAUUAACGGAUGAAAGCGGGGGAUCGCAAGACCUCGCGCGAUUGGAGCGGCCGAUAUCGGAUUAGGAAGUUGGUGGGGUAAAGGCCCACCAAGCCAACGAUCUGUAGCCGGUCUGAGAGGACGAACAGCCGCACUGGAACUGAGACACGGUCCAGACUCAUACGGGAGGCAGCAAUGGGGAAUUUUGGACAAUGGGCGAAAGCCUGAUCCAGCCAUACCGAGUGCAGGAUGAAGGCCCUCGGGUUGUAAACUGCUUUUGUAGAGAACGAAAAGGUUUCUACUAAUACUAAGGGCUAAUGACAGUACUGUAAGAAUAAGCACCGGCUAACUACGUGCCAGCCGCCGCCGUAA
rnacentral:rRNA from 1 species